rnacentral:rRNA from 1 species
GGUUAAGCGACUAAGCGUACACGGUGGAUGCCUAGGCAGUCAGAGGCGAUGAAGGGCGUGCUAAUCUGCGAAAAGCGUCGGUAAGGUGAUAUGAACCGUUAUAACCGACGAUACCCGAAUGGGGAAACCCAGUGCAAUUCGUUGCACUAUUGCAUGGUGAAUACAUAGCCAUGCAAGGCGAACCGGGGGAACUGAAACAUCUAAGUACCCCGAGGAAAAGAAAUCAACCGAGAUUCCCCCAGUAGCGGCGAGCGAACGGGGAGGAGCCCAGAACCUGAAUCAGCGUAUGUGUUAGUGGAAGCGUCUGGAAAGUCGCACGGUACAGGGUGAUAGUCCCGUACACAAAAAUGCAUAUGUUGUGAGUUCGAUGAGUAGGGCGGGACACGUGACAUCCUGUCUGAAUAUGGGGGGACCAUCCUCCAAGGCUAAAUACUCCUGACUGACCGAUAGUGAACCAGUACCGUGAGGGAAAGGCGAAAAGAACCCCGGCGAGGGGAGUGAAAUAGAACCUGAAACCGUGUACGUACAAGCAGUGGGAGCACCUUCGUGGUGUGACUGCGUACCUUUUGUAUAAUGGGUCAGCGACUUAUAUUUUGUAGCAAGGUUAACCGAAUAGGGGAGCCGUAGGGAAACCGAGUCUUAACUGGGCGAAUAGUUGCAAGGUAUAGACCCGAAACCCGGUGAUCUAGCCAUGGGCAGGUUGAAGGUUGGGUAACACUAACUGGAGGACCGAACCGACUAAUGUUGAAAAAUUAGCGGAUGACUUGUGGCUGGGGGUGAAAGGCCAAUCAAACCGGGAGAUAGCUGGUUCUCCCCGAAAGCUAUUUAGGUAGCGCCUCGUGAACUCAUCUUCGGGGGUAGAGCACUGUUUCGGCUAGGGGGUCAUCCCGACUUACCAAACCGAUGCAAACUCCGAAUACCGAAGAAUGUUAUCACGGGAGACACACGGCGGGUGCUAACGUCCGUCGUGAAGAGGGAAACAACCCAGACCGCCAGCUAAGGUCCCAAAGUCAUGGUUAAGUGGGAAACGAUGUGGGAAGGCAUAGACAGCCAGGAUGUUGGCUUAGAAGCAGCCAUCAUUUAAAGAAAGCGUAAUAGCUCACUGGUCGAGUCGGCCUGCGCGGAAGAUGUAACGGGGCUAAACCAUG